rnacentral:rRNA from 1 species
CCUACGGGAGACAGCAGUGAGGAAUAUUGGUCAAUGGGCGCGAGCCUGAACCAGCCAAGUAGCGUGAAGGAUGACUGCCCUACGGGUUGUAAACUUCUUUUAUAAAGGAAUAAAGUGAGGCACGUGUGCCUUUUUGUAUGUACUUUAUGAAUAAGGAUCGGCUAACUCAUGGCUAGCAGACGCGGUAAUACGGAGGAUCCGAGCGUUAUCCGGAUUUAAUGGGUUUAAAGGGAGCGUAGAUGUGUUGUUAAGUCCGUUGUGAAAGUUUGCGGCUCAAACCUAACAUUGCAAUUGAUACUGGCAGCCUUGAGUACAGUAGAGGUAGGCGGAAUUCGUUGUGUAGCGGUGAAAUGCUUAGAUAUCACGAAGAACUCCGAUGGCGAAGGCAGCCUACUAAACUUCCACUGACAUUGAUGCUCGAAAGUGUGGGUAUCAAACAGGAUUAGAUACCCUAGUAGUC